ACCAGGCAACUCCCAGAUAUGUGAGAGAGCCUGACCAAGAUCAACAGAGGGGCCUUCUUGAGGUAUAACUGCCUGCAGAAGGCAAGGUUACAAGUACACUCCGCUAACAUGGAGACCUAACUAAAAUCCCAGUUAUGAUGAAGAAAAAGGAUAUUGCUUAUUAGAAGGACAUUUCAACAUCCAAGCACAGAAGACAAGCUUCAUCUCCAGCAGCCCAGCUCCCCGAGCUUUGCCAACCAGUACAUUUCAGUAGAACUAAAGCUCAGUCCUUGUGAUACCUUUGAGGAACAAUUGCCAGAGGAUUUCCUCUUGAGGAAUUUGAUGUUCAUACCAAA